AAACUUUCACACAGGCAAUCUGGCUUGAUCUUUGUUUUAUUUAAAAUAUAUAUUUACAACUAAAAUGAUAUUAAUGUUUUAAACUUAAACUCUGGUAGUCUAAAGAUGUCUGUAACAGAUUUUGUGAUUUUUGUUGCAUGGAAUUAAAAAAUACUCAAUGCUGAGCUUGGCUUGGAGAAAAAAUUUCACUUAAGUUUGUAUAGUAUAAAAUUUCACCUUGGUUUGUUAAGCUUAGUUCCAUAAUUAAAAGAAAUAAACUACGGCCAUGGCUGAUAAAGCUAAGGGCUAGGAAUUACACUAGAAUCCAUGAGAUAUACUGAGCUUACAACCCCAAAAUACCAGUGUCAAAAAUUUUGAUUUGCUUCCUAUAGUUUUCCUGUACAUGAUAUAAUCCAUAGAUUUAAAUUAUCUUUAUUUUUAAAUCCCCUUUAAGUUUCCAUAGUAAGAUUGGUCACCUUCACUUAAUUUAAAAGGAAGCCAAUGGAGAUUAGAUGAAGUACUUGAUUACCAUCAUUAUAUAUGCUUUAUUUUUUAUACAAAUAGAAUUUUAUAUUUAAGUAAUAGUGAUGACAUAAAAAUAUUAUCGCUCAUUUUAAAGUUCAUUAAGACAAAACUGUUAUGAUAAAAUGUAGGCAUAUAUAUUCAUAUCAUCUACAUAUUUAUGUCACAUUAUCUGAGCCUUUAGUAAAUAGUAUGAAAUAGAUACAGAAAAAAAACACCCAGAGUAAAUAACAGGAAAUUACUAAUAGGCAUAAAAGGUGUCUACUCAGUGAAUAAACUGGAAAUUACAAAGUAAAUAUCUUCAAAAUAAAAAUUACAAAGUGUUUACAUAGAUUUAUAACAUCAUGGAAUAAUAAAUUCACAAUGGACGAUAGUCUAUAUCAAUAUUUCAUAAAUACUUAUGACUUUCCCUUAUAUAAGUCCACUUUGGAUUUCUUCUACAUAACUACUAGAGAAGUUAGAAAAUAUUAGACAAGACUUGGCUAUGUACUUUUAAAGGGUCAGUCCUAAAUUUAGAGUUUAACAGUACUUGAGUUUUUCAACUAAUUCCAAUACAAUUCUACUUAGAAGAAAAUGAUGAAUUCUGUGUAAGUUUGAAUUUGUUAAAUAAGUCUACUCCUUUUUUAAUGUCCAAUUUUUAAAAAUCACAUCAAAUGUGACAGCUUAUAGGCUAAUCAUUCAAAACUCCCAUAACUAUUUUUAUGGAAUCACAGGACUAAAACGGUUUUCUAGUAGUUCUUUUACUACCCUCUACAAGAGGCUACCUCCAAAAGUUACUUAUAUAUCUGUUUCCAGAGAGUUCAUAUCUCCUUUAUUCAUAAAGCAUUUCUAUUUCAUAAUUUUACUAUAAAAGCCAGUGCAGCCUGUGUGGAGUGACAUGUCAGAGAGGGAAAGGGCUCUGGUACAAGAGUGACAUGGUUUCUGUAUUAGUGCCACUACUUAGAGCUGUGACACUCUGGCAAAUUACCCAACUUCUCUGUUGUCUUAGUAUCUUUUUCUGCAAGAUGCAGACAACACCACCUUGCUCAGUAAAGUGGGAUAAUACUCAGGAAAUGGUGGAAAUUAUUAUUGAUAAAAUAUGGCUAUCAAAUACUUAUCAUUAUCAUAGUUCAAGGUUACUUUCCCUGUUACUUUCCCUGUUUGUCUUCCUCAAGAUCCAGGAUAGCUGUUUUUUUUUUCCUGUUAUGGCUUAACUUCACUAGUUCAAGAUAUGCUAGCACUAAUUUUUAAUCUGUUAUAUCUAUAUUAUAACUUGUAUCAAACUAACUGAAACUCAGAUACUAUUUCUGAUACUGCUACCUACACUUGCCUUUUUGUCUAGGAAUAUGUUCUCCAAAUCUCCCUGUUUCCCUGGAAAAGACAAUGACAUAUUUCUUAUUAUGGCCAACUUAACAGCGUUAAUUUUAAAUGCUGCACCCUUUAUGUACUUAUGCAUUAUAUUUACGAGUAUAUGUCUAAUAUAUGGGACUUCUGCUUUACUGUAACUGCACUUUAACAUGCUGAGUUAAAACAACUCACAUUUUUUAUUCUUUUAAAAAAUUUAAAAUUUUCAGGAAAAGCAAAGGACCAAAAUCAUAGAUUUAAAACUCGAAGUGCCAACCUAAAAUAAUGAGCAAAUUAUUACUGUAUGAAAAUAGACAUAUUUGGGAUUUGCCUGAGCAGCACACUAGAAAAAGGCUAUAUAGAAUGUGCUUCACUUCCUUAGCAUGAUUAGGUGUGAUUCUGGGUAGUGUGGGAUCGGAGUGGGGAGAAUCUUAAGGAUAUUUAGAGCAGACUGGGAGAGCCUGAAAUGAAAGACGGGUGAGAGUUUAAGGUGGGUAUCCAAGCCUUCGUCUUGGGAAGACAGCUGCUCUGCUGGCUCCCUGAACCACAAAUACAGCGAUGGAGAGCACCACUGUGUGGCUGUUCUUUCAUCUACGAUCUUUUCCCCCGACUUCUACUUUUGCCCACUUUAAUGUUCUUCCCCAGCUUUUGCUAAUUAUAUAACCACCACUUUUUCUUCAGCUUUUUACUUAACUUUUAUUCUUUUCAAUACUUUCUUUAUUCAGUUAUCUUUCCCUUUUCUAUAUAUUUGCAGCUACUAUAAUUUUUGCCUUAUUUUCCUCUUUUGUGUUAUUUUAUAUUUCUUUGCAUUCUCUUUUCUCUUCAUCUUAUCUGACAUUUUCUCCUCCUUUUUAUUCCCCUGCCCCAUAUGGCUCUUUCUACCUUCUAUCUCUUCAGAAACAAUGUGGAUACUUUAGGUAUACAUGAUUUCUUUAUAUUUAUAAUACAGGGUCUGGCACAAAUAAUACCCCCUUUUUACUAUAAAAAUCUUUUAUUACAAAAUCAUAAGCACGUAAUUCUGUAAUAUAACAAUAUCACACUCAAGCACACCAUAUGACACUUUAGGUGAAAUGUUCAAAUUGCUGGCCAUCACGUGGGAGAUAUUCACGGACCCUACCAACCACACUCAAUGGCGUUACUUCCACAGGACCCUGUAUUAAUAGGUGAA